rnacentral:rRNA from 1 species
GGCUAACGCUGGCGGCGUGUCUUAGCCAUGCAAGUCGAGCGGACUUAUGGGGUAACUUAUAAGUCAGCGGCGGACGGCGGAGUAACACGUAGCUAACCUACCCUCUGGACGGGGAUAACCUACCGAAAGGUGGGCUAAUACCCGAUGUAGUCAUCCUGUAUAGGGGUGAUGAAAGGUGGGCUUCUGUUUACAAGCUCAUGCUGGAGGAGGGGGCUGCGGCCUAUCAGGUAGUUGGUAGGGUAAUAGCCUACCAAGCCGAUGACGGGUAGCCGGCCUGAGAGGGUGACCGGCCCGAGGGGCACUGAGAUACGGGUCCCACUCCUACGGGAGGCAGCAGGCUAGAAAUUUGGGCAAUGGGGGAAACCCUGACCCAGUGACGCCGCGUGCAGGAAGGAGCCCUUCGGGGUGUAAACUGCUGUCGUGUAGGGAGGAGGGUACUAAGGUGAACAAUCUUAGUACUUGACGGUACUACAGGAGGAAGCCCAGGCUAACCUCGUG